rnacentral:lncRNA from 1 species
AAGCUCCAUUGAAAACAUAUAGAACUACAGUACAGUAUUUUUGUAAUUGUUCGUUUGAUACGAUUAGCUAUUGAAGUGUUAGCAGUAGUACUAAUUUGAACAUAGUUUUUGCUUCUGUGAGACGGCGUUCUAAAUAUACCUAUAACUUAACAACCUGUAACUCUACUUUCAUAAAUAGGUUUCCCCAUCUCCUCCCAUACCAUGGGCCAGAGGAGCAUGACCACCUGGGUGAGGAGUUUCUGAAUUAUCAGACCAUGCCAACCACCUCCCUUCAGGACGAAACUGAGAUGGAAAGCUUCUGGGCUGGAAUGGCAACACGGAAACAUAAGGUGGCAGGAACCAAAGAAUUUGAGAGGCUUGUUGCCGUCGCCAAGCUGGUCCUGGUGUUGCCCCCAUUCGAAUGCAGAUGCUCGAGAGGGUUUUCAGUGUUCAGUGGGACUGAACAAAACUAAGACCAGAAAUAGCCUGGCAUUGGAUGGCACCCUGUCUUCAAUAAUGGCCAUAAAGAGGGCUGACCUGGAGCCCUGUUUCAGAUGGGAGCCCCCCUCAGAGGUCAUCAAGGCCUCCAAGAAGGCCACAGGCCAGUACAAACCUUGCCCACAGAUCUUAGAAAAACGACUAACCAGGUUCUGAUCUGCACCUGAUACCUCAUUUUUAGUUAUUUUUGGUCAUGUGUUGAUCUAUUUUAUUGCUUAAAAAGGCUACUGUUUAAGCACUUUAUUUGUUGCACUUUUUUGUUUGAUGGAAUGUGUGGUGGGAGGCUUUGAAUAGUGAAAAAUAUUUCUCCCUAACUAAUCUUGUGUCAUUUUUUGCUGUUCAUAAAUCGUUAAGUGCUCUUAAAUUAAGUGCUCAUGAAUCAUUAAAUACAAUUAUUAACAAUAUAGGUUAGGUUCCAGUUAAGAAUUAGUUGAAUACCAUUGUAAUCAAAAUGUCAAUCAACCUACCUUGGUAAAAUCUUAAACACAGGUCUAUUAAUUAGGCUAUAUUGUGGUACAUAGACAGUCAUUGAGGCACAAGAAUAGUUUUCUGGUUGAAUGUUCAGCUCAAGUCUAAAAGGCCCUACAAGUCAUGAUCAGAUGAACAUGAAUCAGAAUAAGUUCAGGUAUUGCACAUCUUUAGCAUACCACCCAAAAAUCCACUAGAAUGCAGGAAAUAACAUCUACUUAAACCAAAAUGUCCUGGGGGUGGACCUUCAGCUAUGUCUUUGCUUCACAGAAUUGAACCAAUGUUGUCCAUCUCCAGUAGGCCCCACAGUAGGCAGACUUUGGGCCCCAAAAACCAACAGAAUGCAGAGCACAACAUGGGUACAACGCCAAAUUAAUUCCAAUUCCCUGAUAUCCGAGCCACCCAACAAGUGUAGCUGCGUGCGCGGCAACAUUUUCUCACUCCAAGGUUUUUUGAAAAGUUGCCAGCUCUGUGGUGACACGUUUUAGUACACUUUGCAGUGAGUGUGUUUGCCCUACAAUGCUAAAAAGUUGCAGUCAAAUUUGGCAAAAUUGCUAGCUUGGAUAUUAUCUUUACAUUUAGAUGGGUUGGUGGUUACAAACAAUGAGGAUGCGCAUGCAGCUUCAAGGCAGAACAAUGCCUACCAUUUCACCUUUACUGUAUAUGUUCCAUCCACCCCCCCCUUUCUGAAUAAAGUUCCAUUGAUCUGAUUUGUUGCUAUCUGU